UGCAGUCGAGCGAAUGGAUUAAGAGCUUGCUCUUAUGAAGUUAGCGGCGGACGGGUGAGUAACACGUGGGUAACCUGCCCAUAAGACUGGGAUAACUCCGGGAAACCGGGGCUAAUACCGGAUAACAUUUUGAACUGCAUGGUUCGAAAUUGAAAGGCGGCUUCGGCUGUCACUUAUGGAUGGACCCGCGUCGCAUUAGCUAGUUGGUGAGGUAACGGCUCACCAAGGCAACGAUGCGUAGCCGACCUGAGAGGGUGAUCGGCCACACUGGGACUGAGACACGGCCCAGACUCCUACGGGAGGCAGCAGUAGGGAAUCUUCCGCAAUGGACGAAAGUCUGACGGAGCAACGCCGCGUGAGUGAUGAAGGCUUUCGGGUCGUAAAACUCUGUUGUUAGGGAAGAACAAGUGCUAGUUGAAUAAGCUGGCACCUUGACGGUACCUAACCAGAAAGCCACGGCUAACUACGUGCCAGCAGCCGCGGUAAUACGUAGGUGGCAAGCGUUAUCCGGAAUUAUUGGGCGUAAAGCGCGCGCAGGUGGUUUCUUAAGUCUGAUGUGAAGCCCCACGGUUCAACCGUGGAGGGUCAUUGGAAACUGGGAGACUUGAGUGCAGAAGAGGAAAGUGGAAUUCCAUGUGUAGCGGUGAAAUGCGUAGAGAUAUGGAGGAACACCAGUGGCGAAGGCGACUUUCUGGUCUGUAACUGACACUGAGGCGCGAA
rnacentral:rRNA from 1 species